CUGCACUAAUACUAUACUACUAUACUAAAUAUUCUGAAAACAAAAUAGAGAGAAAGAUGAGGGGGGAGGAAAAAUAAAAAGGACAGAGAUUCCCCUGAUCCUGAAAGCCAGGCUAAAAGGGUUGGGACUUGGGAGCCACUUUGUCCCUAGUUUCAAUUCAAGGAGGCCCUCUGUGUCAAUCCAUUAGAUAUGCCACUACUCUCUGUUCUUUGGACUAGUAUAACUCUGCAUCCAGACGAGGGAGCAGCAGCCAGCAAGGAGAUCAGUGUGGAGCUGGACCUAAGCUUCGCAUGCAUAUAUGCAUGCUACCCUGCAUCCAUUUCUGAAACCUAGAGGAGUAAACUAGUUAUAGUACUGUACAUAGUGAUAUCAUCUCCUGUAAUAUGAUUCAAGAGAAGGUUGGCCUCUCCAUAUAUUUCUUCUCACUUCAUCCUCUCAAAACUAGCUUCUUCUGUUUCUUGUGCACUGCAUAUAAUAAGCUAGCUUAGCUAGCCAACAGGUUCCAAUAUUCAUGCUGCUCUCUUCUUCUGUGUUUUCCUCUCUACCAUGUAGCAUAUCUCUCUCUCUUAAUUAUUUGUCUUCAAAUUAAUCUGAUCUGUUGCUUUUCAAAGUUCCAAACCCUCUUGUCUUCUUGAUCUCCUAUAUAUAUAGGAGCAUUGAUAAUUCUCUAUUGUUUAUAUUUCACUGAUCUCUACCUUUUUUUUCUUCUUCUUUAGUAAAUUAAGCGCUAAACAAUGAUUUUAUACUGCAGAUGUUUGUUUGGAAGCUGUCAAAAUAUGACAUACUGGAUGAUCAAAACCCUAUAUCUCCCAUCAGUAUCAACAACAGCGUAAGCAGUUUCUUCGGUUGCCACAGUGGCAAGAGGGAGGAAGAAACAUCAUCAUCCAUCAUGAUUUUAAUACAAGAUCCUCCUCAAACAGCAUUGUUUUACAUCAUACCUGAAAAAGUAGCUACGAAAUCGUUCCAUAUAGCAUUGCAAGUACAAGUAAGCAUUGUGAUGUUCUCGUAGCUUGCGAACCGGUGCUACCCCGACUGAGCUUUUCUUCUUCUAAAAACUUCUCCAACCACCAUACAUCUUUUCUGGUGCUUUAUUUGUGCUAGAAUUAAUAUUCUUGACCUUGUAAGGCCUUUUUCUUGACCUUGUAAGGCCCUCUCACAUCGUUUUCCAUCUCAUUAUGUACCUCGUGCAUCUCUUUCUUGAUAUCUACAAGAAUGAACCUGCCAUCGCCAAGUUGGCCAGCCAUCUCCUACCUCAUGUUCCCUUCUCCCUUCUAUCCCUCCUGAGCUAGCUGCACCAUCAUAGCCUUUUUAUGAGAUAAUCUCAAUUAAUGGCUAGUGUUUUUAGGCACUUGUGAGUUUCUCCCACAUCCUAGUAGUUAAUGCUACUUCUGGUCAUCCAUUGAUUUGCUCUUAUAUGCAAAAUAUAAAUGCAAUGGAAGCUUGUCUUUCUCAUUGAAGUUAUCACUCACCAAAUGGUGCUGAUCGAAAU
rnacentral:lncRNA from 1 species